rnacentral:rRNA from 1 species
UACGUAGGGUGCGAGCGUUGUCCGGAAUUACUGGGCGUAAAGAGCUCGUAGGUGGUUUGUCGCGUUGUCCGUGAAAACUCACAGCUUAACUGUGGGCGUGCGGGCGAUACGGGCAGACUGGAGUACUGCAGGGGAGACUGGAAUUCCUGGUGUAGCGGUGGAAUGCGCAGAUAUCAGGAGGAACACCGAUGGCGAAGGCAGGUCUCUGGGCCGAUACUGACGCUGAGGAGCGAAAGCGUGGGGAGCGAACAGG